UCAAAGGAAUUGACGGGGGCCCGCACAAGCGGCGGAGCAUGCGGAUUAAUUCGAUGCAACGCGAAGAACCUUACCAAGGCUUGACAUGUUCUCGAUCGCCGUAGAGAUACGGUUUCCCCUUUGGGGCGGGUUCACAGGUGGUGCAUGGUUGUCGUCAGCUCGUGUCGUGAGAUGUUGGGUUAAGUCCCGCAACGAGCGCAACCCUCGUUCCAUGUUGCCAGCACGUCGUGGUGGGGACUCAUGGGAGACUGCCGGGGUCAACUCGGAGGAAGGUGAGGACGACGUCAAAUCAUCAUGCCCCUUAUGUCUUGGGCUUCACGCAUGCUACAAUGGCCGGUACAAUGGGUUGCGAUACUGUGAGGUGGAGCUAAUCCCAAAAAGCCGGUCUCAGUUCGGAUUGGGGUCUGCAACUCGACCCCAUGAAGUCGGAGUCGCUAGUAAUCGCAGAUCAGCAACGCUGCGGUGAAUACGUUCCCGGGCCUUGUACACACCGCCCGUCAAGUCACGAAAGUUGGUAACACCCGAAGCCGGUGGCC
rnacentral:rRNA from 1 species